AGCUUGGGUAAGUGUACUUCAAAGUCCAUGUGUUAAGGACCUGGUCUCUAAGGUGGCACCACGUUAAGGAUGUAAGGCCUGGUGGGAGGUUCUUAGAUCCUUGGGAGGGGUCUUUAAAUGGGCUUUUGGGACCCUAGCCCUUUCUAUCUCUUUUUGUUGCUUUUUGGCCUAUGAUAUGAAUGAUAUUUCUCCUCUUCAUGCCCCCACCAGGAUGCCUGACCUCUUUGGAAGCCCAAAGUAAUGUGCCAUACAAUUAUGGACUGGAACCUCCAAGACUACGAGUCAAAAUAAACCUUUUCUCUUACAUGUUAAUGACCUCAGAUGUUUCCUAACAGCAUUGGAAAGCUGACUAACACAAUGAACAGCACUUACCAAGGUCUAGGAGAGAGAAAGUGCAAGGAGAGAGAAACAGAUAUCCACUGUUUAAGCCACUGUCAAGGCCCAAGAGGAGAGUGGUUUUGUUCUUUCAUACACACCUACCACGAUGCACUGCCUCACCAUAGGCCCAAAACAAUGGGGUCAAUUGAUUCUGGACUGAAACCUGCCAACUU